CGCCUGGGGAGUACGGGUGAGGUAACGGCUCACCAAGGCAUCGACGGGUAGCUGGUCUGAGAGGACGAUCAGCCACACUGGGACUGAGACACGGCCCAGACUCCUACGGGAGGCAGCAGUAGGGAAUCUUGCGCAAUGGGCGAAAGCCUGACGCAGCAACGCCGCGUGGGGGAUGAAUGCCUUCGGGUUGUAAACCCCUUUCAGCAGGGACGAAAAUGACGGUACCUGCAGAAGAAGCUCCGGCCAACUACGUGCCAGCAGCCGCGGUAAUACGUAGGGUGCAAGCGUUGUCCGGAUUUAUUGGGCGUAAAGAGCUCGUAGGCGGUUCAGUUAGUCGGGUGUGAAAACUCUGGGCUCAACCCAGAGACGCCACUCGAUACUGCUGUGACUAGAGUGCGGUAGGGGAGCGGGGAAUUCCUAGUGUAGCGGUGAAAUGCGCAGAUAUUAGGAGGAACACCAGUGGCGAAGGCGCCGCUCUGGGCCGUAACUGACGCUGAGGAGCGAAAGCGUGGGUAGCAAACAGGAUUAGAUACCCUGGUAGUCCACGCCGUAAACGUUGGGCACUAGGUGUGGGUCUCAACCAACGAGAUCCGCGCCGUCGCUAACGCAUUAAGUGCCCCGCCUGGGGAGUACGG
rnacentral:rRNA from 1 species